rnacentral:misc_RNA from 1 species
GAUGAAGAACGUAGCGAAAUGCGAUAAGUAAUGUGAAUUGCAGAAUUCAGUGAAUCAUCGAAUCUUUGAACGCACAUUGCGCCCCUUGGUAUUCCGAGGGGCAUGCCUGUUCGAGCGUCAUUAUAACCCCUCAAGCUCAGCUUGGUGUUGGGGCCUGCUGCACUGGCAGCCCUUAAAAUCAGUGGCGGCGCCAUCUGGCUCUAAGCGUAGUAAUUCUUCUCGCUAUGGAGUCCUGGUGGAUGCUUGCCAUCAACCCCCAAUUUUUCUAUGGUUGACCUCGGAUCAGGUAGUGAUACCCGCUGAACUUAAGCAUAUCAAUAAGCGGAGGA